rnacentral:rRNA from 1 species
AGUGAACGCUGGCGGCAGGCCUAACACAUGCAAGUCGAGCGGCAGCGCGGGGGCAACCCUGGCGGCGAGCGGCGGACGGGUGAGGAAUUCGUCGGAAUCUGCCUUUUUGUGGGGGAUAACGUAGGGAAACUUACGCUAAUACCGCAUACGUCCUACGGGAGAAAGUGGGGGACCGCAAGGCCUCACGCAGAAAGAUGAGCCGACGACCGAUUAGCUAGUUGGUGGGGUAAAGGCCCACCAAGGCGACGAUCGGUAGCUGGUCUGAGAGGAUGAUCGGCCACACUGGGACUUGGACACGGCCCAGACGCCUGCGGGAGGCAGCAGUGGGGAAUGUUGGACAAUGGGCGCAAGCCUGAUCCAGCCAUGCCGCGUGUGUGAAGAAGGCCUUCGGGUUGUAAAGCACUUUUGUCCGGAAAGAAAUCCCUGGAGCUAAUACCUUCGGGGGAUGACGGUACCGGAAGAAUAAGCACCGGCUAACUUCGUG